UAUGGUCAUAUAGUGUUGAAACACAGGUUACUGUAUGAUCACAAAAAGUUAAGCAAUCUCAAGCCUGGUCAGUACCUAGAUGGGUGACCACUUGGGAAUACCAGGUGCUGUAA